rnacentral:tRNA from 1 species
UCGGAAUGUCGCGUAGUUUGGUCUAUCGUAUCUGUUUUGGGUACAGAUUUUCGUAGGUUCAAAUCCUACUAUUCCGAA